rfam:Cephalotus follicularis DNA, scaffold: scaffold4117, isolate: St1.
AAAAUGGUUCCUUUGGGAACCAAACUCAUUUUUAAUCUAGAGAAAU